AGUGAACGCUGGCGGUAGGCCUAACACAUGCAAGUCGAACGGCAGCACAGUAAGAGCUUGCUCUUACGGGUGGCGAGUGGCGGACGGGUGAGGAAUACAUCGGAAUCUACUUUUUCGUGGGGGAUAACGUAGGGAAACUUACGCUAAUACCGCAUACGACCUACGGGUGAAAGCAGGGGAUCUUCGGACCUUGCGCGAUUGAAUGAGCCGAUGUCGGAUUAGCUAGUUGGCGGGGUAAAGGCCCACCAAGGCGACGAUCCGUAGCUGGUCUGAGAGGAUGAUCCGCCACACUGGAACUGAGACACGGUCCAGGCUCCUGCGGGAGGCAGCAGUGGGGAAUAUUGGACAAUGGGCGCAAGCCUGAUCCAGCCAUACCGCGUGGGUGAAGAAGGCCUUCGGGUUGUAAAGCCCUUUUGUUGGGAAAGAAAAGCAGCAGGUUAAUACCCCGCUGUUCUGACGGUACCCAAAGAAUAAGCACCGGCUAACUUCGUG
rnacentral:rRNA from 1 species